CUACGGGGCGCUGCAGUGGGGAAUAUUGCACAAUGGGCGAAAGCCUGAUGCAGCAACGCCGCGUGAACGAUGAAGGCCUUCGGGUCGUAAAGUUCUGUUCUAAGGGAAGAAUAAAUGACGGUACCUUAGAAGAAAGCCCCGGCUAACUACGUGCCAGCAGCCGCGGGAAUACGUAGGGGGCAAGCGUUAUCCGGAAUCAUUGGGCGUAAAGGGUGCGUAGGCGGUUAUGUAAGUUAGAGGUGAAAGGCUAUGGCUCAACCAUAGUAAGCCUUUAAAACUGCAUAACUUGAGUGCAGGAGAGGAGAGUGGAAUGCCUAGUGUAGCGGUGAAAUGGGUAGAUAUUAGGAGGAACACCAGUGGCGAAGGCGACUCUCUGGACUGUAACUGACGCUGAGGCACGAAAGCGUGGGGAGCGAACAGGAUUAGAUACCCUCGUAGUC
rnacentral:rRNA from 1 species